rnacentral:rRNA from 1 species
CCCUUAGAUGUUCUGGGCCGCACGCGCGCUACACUGACGAAGUCAGCGAGCAUCUCCUACGCCGAAAGGUGCGGGGAAUCUUGUGAAACUUUGUCGUGCUGGGGAUUGAUUUUUGAAAUUCUUGAUCAUCAACGAGGAAUUCCUAGUAAGCGCAAGUCAGCAGCUUGCGCUGAUUACGUCCCUGCCCUUUGUACACACCGCCCGUCGCUACUACCGAUUGAAUGGUUUAGUGAGAUUUUUGGACUGGAACUCUCUUGUUCAGCAAUGAACGAGAGGGACUCUGGGAAGCUAUUCUAACUGUAUCAUUUAGAGGAAGUAAAAGUCGUAACA